rnacentral:lncRNA from 1 species
UUUGUUCACAAAAGCAAUAAAGAAUACUGAAAUCCAAGUUGGAAGGGACCUUGCCAAAGUUGCUCAUUGAGGAGCCAACAUUUUUCCGGCCAUCCUGAGACCUGCAGUGUCGCCACGACAUUCCCUGCCAAGCAGUUCAGACUGAGACCAUUGCGGUAACAAGAAAGAGAGAGGGGAAUCUUAAAUCAAGACCUCUUGACUCCUCUGUGCUGUUAAUAGGAGAGGUAACUGAGAUGUACCAUGUUCACAGAGUGGUAUAAAUGGAACCACAGCCCAGGGGUUCUAUUUAUAGAAACUUCUGACUUCAAGUCCAGAGCUCUUCUUUUUUUUUUUUUUUUUUGUGAGACAGAGUCUCACCCUGACGCCCAGGCUGGAAUGCAGUGGUGCAAUCUUGGCUGACUGCAACUUUUGUCUCCUGGAUGCAGGCAAUUCUUCUGCCUCAGCCUCCACAGUAGCUGAGAAUACAGGAGUGCCACCACACCCAGCUAAUUUUUGUAUUUUUAGUAGAGGUAGGGUUUCAUUAUAUUGGCCAGGCUGGUCUCAAACUUCUGACCUCGUGAUCCACCUGCCUUGGCCUCCCAAAGUGCUGGGAUUACAGGUGUGAGCCACCCCGCCCGGCCUUGAACUCUUAUCUACCUUGCUACUUCCUUUAUCAGAACUGGGAUAAGAACCUUUAGAAGACUCAACCAGCACUAGUCCUGAUCUUUUCACUCCUCUACUUAAUCUCAAUGCUGCUAGUUUACCUAUUUUGCUCUCUCCUGCCUCAGGGCCUUUGCACUUGCUUUUCCCUCUCUCCCCACCCAUCUUUUUUUUUUUUUUUCUUGAUAGUCUUGUCUCCCAGGCUGGAUUGCAAUGGCGUGAUCUCAGCUCACUGCAACCUCUGCC